GUGGGGAAUUUUGGACAAUGGGCGCAAGCCUGAUCCAGCAAUGCCGCGUGCAGGAAGAAGGCCUUCGGGUUGUAAACUGCUUUUGUACGGAACGAAACGGUCCGGGUUAAUACCCUGGGCUAAUGACGGUACCGUAAGAAUAAGCACCGGCUAACUACGUGCCAGCAGCCGCGGUAAUACGUAGGGUGCAAGCGUUAAUCGGAAUUACUGGGCGUAAAGCGUGCGCAGGCGGUUUGGUAAGACAGGCGUGAAAUCCCCGGGCUCAACCUGGGAAUUGCGCUUGUGACUGCAAGGCUGGAGUGCGGCAGAGGGGGAUGGAAUUCCGCGUGUAGCAGUGAAAUGCGUAGAUAUGCGGAGGAACACCGAUGGCGAAGGCAAUCCCCUGGGCCUGCACUGACGCUCAUGCACGAAAGCGUGGGGAGCAAACAGGAUUAGAAACCCGUGUAGUCC
rnacentral:rRNA from 1 species